GGCUUGGUGGCAUAACGGCAAUGCACUCCAUGUUCAUUGAAUGUCCUUUACAUCGUAACUUGGAGGGUUCGGAGUUUGACUCUCUGUCAAGCCA